GCUGCAUAUAAAAGCCAACACUACAUACAAACACACCAUACAUUAAAGUGCAAACACUACCCACAAGUACACCACUGCAUUCCAAAAUGCUUGAAAACUGUUUUACAAAAGCCAAAGUGUCUGUUAAAGGGACACUCCAGGCACCCAGACCACUUCUGCCCAUUGAAGUGGUCUGGGUGCCAACUCCCAUCACCGCUAAUCCUGC